rnacentral:rRNA from 2 species
GCCGACCUCAGAUCAGGUAAGA